rnacentral:rRNA from 1 species
UACGUAGGGGGCGAGCGUUGUCCGAAGUUACUGGGCGUAAAGCGCGCGUAGGCGGGCCGUUUAAGUGGGAGGUGAAAGGCCGGGGCUCAACCCCGUGCAGUGCCUCCCAUACUGGCGGUCUUGAGGGCGGUAGGGAGGAGCGGAAUGGCUGGUGUAGCGGUGAAAUGCGUAGAUAUCAGUCGGAACACCGGUGGCGAAGGCGGCUCCUUGGGCCGUUCCUGACGCUGAGGCGCGAAAGCUGGGGGAGCGAACGGGGAUUAAGAA